GGGGGUUUAGCUCAGUGGUAGAGCACUUGCCUAGCAAGUGAAAGGCCCUGGGUUUGGUUCUCAGCUCCCG
rfam:Rattus norvegicus chromosome 14, whole genome shotgun sequence.